GUGCCAGCCGGCCGCGGUAAUACGGAGGGUGCAAGCGUUAAUCGGAAUUACUGGGCGUAAAGAGUGCGUAGGUGGUUGGAUAAGUUAUCUGUGAAAUCCCUGGGCUUAACCUGGGCAGGUCAGAUAAUACUGUUUAACUCGAGUAUGGGAGAGGGUAGUGGAAUUUCCGGUGUAGCGGUGAAAUGCGUAGAGAUCGGAAGGAACACCAGUGGCGAAGGCGGCUACCUGGCCUAAUACUGACACUGAGGCACGAAAGCGUGGGGAGCAAACAGG
rnacentral:rRNA from 1 species